AGCCGGGAGCUUGCUCCUGGUGGUGAGUGGCGAACGGGUGAGUAAUGCGUCGGAACGUGCCGAGUAAUGGGGGAUAACGCAGCGAAAGUUGUGCUAAUACCGCAUACGCCCUGAGGGGGAAAGUGGGGGAUCGCAAGACCUCACGUUAUUCGAGCGGCCGACGUCUGAUUAGCUAGUUGGUGGGGUAAAGGCCUACCAAGGCGACGAUCAGUAGCGGGUCUGAGAGGAUGAUCCGCCACACUGGGACUGAGACACGGCCCAGACUCCUACGGGAGGCAGCAGUGGGGAAUUUUGGACAAUGGGGGCAACCCUGAUCCAGCCAUUCCGCGUGAGUGAAGAAGGCCUUCGGGUUGUAAAGCUCUUUCAGCUGGAGUGAAACGGUGCGCUCUAACAUAGCGCGCUAAUGACGGUACCAGCAGAAGAAGCACCGGCUAACUACGUGCCAGCAGCCGCGGUAAUACGUAGGGUGCGAGCGUUAAUCGGAAUUACUGGGCGUAAAGCGUGCGCAGGCGGAUUGUUAAGCAAGAUGUGAAAUCCCCGGGCUUAACCUGGGAAUGGCAUUUUGAACUGGCAGUCUAGAGUGCGUCAGAGGGGGNUGGAAUUCCACGUGUAGCAGUGAAAUGCGUAGAGAUGUGGAGGAACACCGAUGGCGAAGGCAGCCCCCUGGGAUGACACUGACGCUCAUGUACGAAAGCGUGGGUAGCAAACAGGAUUAGAUACCCUGGUAGUCCACGCCCUAAACGAUGUCAACUGGUUGUUGGGGGAGUGAAAUCCCUUAGUAACGAAGCUAACGCGUGAAGUUGACCGCCUGGGGAGUACGGUCGCAAGAUUAAAACUCAAAGGAAUUGACGGGGACCCGCACAAGCGGUGGAUGAUGUGGAUUAAUUCGAUGCAACGCGGAAAAACCUUACCUACCAUGGACAUGUCCAGUAACUCUGAAGAGAUUUUGGGGGUGUCUUACUACGGUGGUGGAACACAGNGUGCUAUUAACUUCGUCUCGGUAGUGUUUUCUCCUCUUUCUUUUUUUC
rnacentral:rRNA from 1 species